UACGGAGGGUGCGAGCGUUAAUCGGAAUAACUGGGCGUAAAGCGCACGCAGGCGGUCUUUUAAGUCAGGUGUGAAAUCCCCGGGCUUAACCUGGGAAUAGCAUUUCAGACUGGAAGGCUAGAGUACUUUAGGGAGGGGUGGAAUUCCACGUGUAGCGGUGAAAUGCGUAGAGAUGUGGAGGAAUACCGAAGGCGAAGGCAGCCCCUUGGGAAUGUACUGACGCUCAUGUGCGAAAGCGUGGGGAGCAAACAGG
rnacentral:rRNA from 1 species